GACGGAAAUGCAAGGCUUUCUUCUGGUGAAGGAUUAUACUGACACCCCUCCCUCGGGCGGUGGGUGUGAAAAGGGUUAUGUAAAUCAUUGCUACUUUUAGGAGCUGGCAGUCCCUCAACUUGAGCGAGGACGUAGGGAAAGCGAAUCCGGGAAGGAGGCAAUUCACCUCAAACCUUUCACAGAUUCACGAAAUGAACAUACCAUUGAGAUGUUCUUCUGUAAGAAAGGACAGAUCACUUUGCAGCAAUUCACCCCGUGACGACUUGAAGCAGAUAGUUCUCGCGAGUUUUAGAUCCUUUUUUUCUUUCUUUCUUUUUUUUUUUUCAAAGAUGAAUCUCUGUUGAGAUGGCAAUGUGUGCCUCGCUCUGAAGGAAAACCACAUAAGCCAGGUCUUGAAGGUCUUGAAGGCGGAUGCACGCCCUUUUCUUCUGUGCAAGGCCUGCCUUACCUCCCAGCGGUGCCUCUCUGUCUCCUACCACCCUUUCGGAGCCAGCUCAGACACUGCACUUCCAAAGGCUUCCCUGGUGUCCAGGAAUGUUUGCUUCUCUCUUCUGGCUCGUGGGACCAUGAGCUCCAGGGACCACACGCUCCAGGGACCACGCCUGCAACUCCCGCCGGAGGUGGUCAGUGCAUUUCUCUUCUCUUCCCCCGAGGGCCCAGGUCCCCCUCAUCUCCAAGGGUACCCAUCACAGGGCUCCCUUUUAAACUAUCGGGAAGCACUGAAUGAAUGAACGCACGAAGACCCAUCACCGGCUCCUCCUGCCUUUGCCUACCAUCUUCUUUCUGGAGAAGAGUCAGUUUGUCUGCAUCUGAGAAGAGGUGGGGGAGAGAGCCAGCAAGUCCUCCCCCUUCUGCUCCAGGAUCUAGGAGACAGGGAAUCUCAUCGGGGGAGGGUUAGGGGCCCCCAGCCGGGGUGACUCGGAAUAACAGAGCAGUUUGCUGGUCUGGGCAGAAGGAUGGGGCAGAAAUCCUUACCAACAGGGCCCAGGCACUGGAGGAAUCUGACCGACCUCCAGGCUUUGGGGCUGUGUGUGUGUGUGUGUGUGUGUGUGUGUGUGUGUGUGUGUGUGUGAUCGGUUUCCAGGUGAGACCAGGAAGGGUCUAUGCAGGCGUAUUCCAGCUUCUGGCUUCCUAGGGCAUAGAGGGGGCUGGAUGAAAGGAGCCAAGAUGCUGGGCAACCUGCAGGGGGCCCCCCAUUCGCCCCAGGACCAUGUUUCUAAGUGGCUAAAGUUCAGGGACAGAGUUGAUUCAACCCCCCUUCAAAUCUCCUACAAGCCCAUACCUACUUCCUUCUCCCCAAUCCAGGGAGGGGGGCCCGGUCCCUAAACAGGUGGAGCCUUAAUGUGAUGCGGCUUCCUUGGUGUUCCCUGGAGUCUUGAAACUGGAUGAACAGGAAGCAUCCUGUUUAAAACACACAGAAACUAUCUCACAGCCUGUUCAGAAGGAUCCACAGAGGGGAGGGGAGAACCUGCAGUGCCGUGAGGGAGGGCGCAGCCUCGCCCUGGCACCGGACCCACUUCUGAUGCCCAGAGCAGGGCCCACUUGGCUGGGAACCUGUACCGCUGGCCUCCAUCUCUCCUUAGUCAUCUGCACACACCCAGGGCUGUAGGAAGCUCAGCCCAGCCCGGAGGUUGAAUCCGUCUCCAUCUCUUCAUACUGAUGGCAGCCUGGCAUUGUUAUCCUUCACGGAUCAUCUCUUGGAAGGACAUCAGCCUCUUCUUACAUCU
rnacentral:lncRNA from 1 species